CGGCAAACUGGUGAGUAACACGUGAGUAAUCUAUCUCUAAAUCGAGGAUAGCUUUGCGAAAGCAGAGGUAAUACUUGAUGUGUUUAUUAUAGCAUAAGCUAUGAUAUAUAAAGGUGCCCUGAUGUAUAGUCGGGGUGUUGUUUAGAGCGGAGCUCGCGUCCUAUCAGCUAGUUGGCAGGGUAAUGGCCUACCAAGGCUUUUGACGGGUAGCUGGCCUGAGAGGGUGGUCAGCCACACGGGGACUGAGACACUGCCCCGACUCCUACGGGAGGCUGCAGUCGAGGAUAUUUAGCAAUGGGCGAAAGCCUGACUAUGUGACGCCGCGUGAGGGAUGAAGGUUUUCGGAUCGUAAACCUCUUUCGAUGGGAAAGAAGACCCGCAGUCAAAUAAAUUGCGGGGUUGACGGUACCUAGAGAAGAAGCCACGGCCAACUCCGUGCCAGCAGCCGCGGUAAUACGGGGGUGGCAAGCGUUACUCGGAUUUAUUGGGUGUAAAGGGCAGGUAGGCGAUUUGCUAAGUUAGAAGUGAAAUCCUUUGGCUCAACCAAAGAACUGCUUCUAAAACUGGCUUGAUUGAGGCUAAAAGAGGAGAGCGGAAUUCCCGGUGUAAGAGUGAAAUCUGUAGAUAUCGGGAGGAACACCAGUGGCGAAGGCGGCUCUCUGGUUUAGACCUGACGCUGAUCUGCGAAAGCUAGGGGAGCAAACAGGAUUAGAUACCCUGGUAGUCCUAGCCGUAAACGAUGAGCACUAGUGUUGGAAGUUUAUCUUUCAGCGCCGCAGAUAACUCGUUAAGUGCUCCACCUGGGGACUACGACCGCAAGGUUAAAACUCAAGGAAUUGACGGGGGCCCGCACAAGCGGUGAACAUGUGGUUCAAUUCG
rnacentral:rRNA from 1 species